AUCCAGCUGACGAGUCUCAAAUAGGACGAAGCGACGCGCAUCCUGGAU
rnacentral:hammerhead_ribozyme from 1 species